rnacentral:rRNA from 1 species
AGUGAACGCUGGCGGUAGGCCUAACACAUGCAAGUCGAACGGCAGCACAGUAAGAGCUUGCUCUUACGGGUGGCGAGUGGCGGACGGGUGAGGAAUACAUCGGAAUCUACUUUUUCGUGGGGGAUAACGUAGGGAAACUUACGCUAAUACCGCAUACGACCUACGGGUGAAAGCAGGGGAUCUUCGGACCUUGCGCGAUUGAAUGAGCCGAUGUCGGAUUAGCUAGUUGGCGGGGUAAAGGCCCACCAAGGCGACGAUCCGUAGCUGGUCUGAGAGGAUGAUCAGCCACACUGGAACUGAGACACGGUCCAGACUCCUACGGGAGGCAGCAGUGGGGAAUAUUGGACAAUGGGCGCAAGCCUGAUCCAGCCAUACCGCGUGGGUGAAGAAGGCCUUCGGGUUGUAAAGCCCUUUUGUUGGGAAAGAAAAGCAGCAGGUUAAUACCCCGCUGUUCUGACGGUACCCGAAGAAUAAACACCGGCUAACUUCGU